AUCAAAGGAUGGAGGGCAACACGGCAGUGCGGCUGGAUCGAAAGAGACGUCGGAGACGCUUUGCUGAACAAAAAGUGUCUUUAUUACAAGCGAGUGUCAUUAAACAGGUCUGCAGUACCCGGAGAAGCCUAGGUGUGUAUGCUAAGUCAAGAGAGCGC